AGUAUCGGAUUAUGAGCGAUCACAGUAAAAGAGGCCGAAUAUAGGAAAACGUUUAUUUUUUUAUCAUAUGUUAUCUCCAUAUCAUACAUUUUUAGUCGUUUCCUGAACGAGAAAUUUAUUCCGGAGAGUCAUAAAAUUUUCACCAACGAUGAAACACGCGCGCGCGCACACACACGGUCACGGUAUCGUGGCGCGGAAAGUAAUUACCUUUCGCCGGCAGUACGGAAGGCAAAACUCCGGAAUUUCGAGUGUCGAAAUCUCCGAAAGAAAGAAGCAGGACUACAUGUAUCCGGCAAAGAGAGAGAAAUGAACGUGCGAGCGAGCAAGCAUCGAGCGCGCACGCACGCGUGCGUGCAUGCAGUUACGUAUAUUCACUCGCGCGAAUUAUUCUCGUCGACGGUGCUCCAGCCGGUUCCAUUAAUUCGAGUGCGCUACUCUACCCUGUAGAGGGUGAAAUUACCCUUGAAAUUAUAACAGGUUGAUACUUCAACCGCACUGGCAUCGACCGUCAGGUCGCACGGCACGAUCGAUAUUACUUGGUCGAUGCGAUAGUGGGCAUCAAUAGUGUAUACACAUACACGAGUCCGCCGUUUAGAGAAUAGUUUUCAAUUAAGCACACUAAGAAUGGUAGCGAUAAAAGAAGAAUCGUCGAAUCGUUGUCGUCUGAGAUCCAGUCUCGGAAUCGGAUAAUCGCCAUUGUCAAUUAAGCUUCGCCAAGCGACUACUGAUCGCGCUCGAUGCAAAGACUGAACGCGCAUGCGCCACGUUCGAUUUUCGUAUCGUAUCGUAAUAUUCAUCGAAUGUCAUAUUCAUCACGAUUCUUCUUUGAAUGCACUGGUGUACAACUUCUUCGAUCAAUCUAAAUCUAGUCUCAAAGGAUUCUUUCUGAAGAAAGGCUCAUCGUCGAAGCUAUUUUAUAUCACGAAUAAGCAUGCAAGUAUCAACACAACGACAUCAGCACGAUACACGUUGCACAGACGGUUACGCAUACACGACUUCUUUCCACGGCACUACCAGACGCUGCUAACCCCCACUACUGCGCCGUAGCCUAACACCAAGAGACCAAAGUCUCACAGACGAAUUCUCACACCCGCGCACAGUCGGAGCGAGCAAGAGUAAGAGUAAGAGGAAGAGAGAAAGAAGAUAGGAGGUAGAGAUAUGGAUAGACAGAUACAGACGGAGAGAGACAAGGAACGAGACACUGUGCAAGCAGACAGAGAUAGGAAAUAGGCAAGAAGAGACAGUCUCGCAAGAGCUGUUCGGGUAUACGGGCUCUCGUUCGCGACGUCGUCGUCGGUAGUAUAGACGCGCCUUAAGGAACUUCGACGCCUGACCUUACCUCGGCCAAGGUCGUGCCACGACGAACCGUCUGCCGUCUCUAAUGUCGUUUUGACUGACUGGGAUCCGUGUUUUGACGAGCGGCGGACCGUGCGUGUGCUCGGUCAUCGGGUGGACGUAACGUCACCGGAGAAAGGCAAGCACACACGUGACAUAGGGAGUCUGUGGUGCAGUUUUAUUUCCACCGAAGCCAACACACGGUCCAUUUCGCCGACCGAGACCAAACUUUUCCAUUAGGCGACGCGACUAACGCUCCCAUGGCUCUUCUUAACGAUCCCCGGUCUCUUAUAUUAAAUUCCGGUUUUCGAGCUUUCGGCCAUAACUUUCCAGAUAGCAACUAAGGGCUACUCCUCUUCGAGGUUCGAGCGUGAUGCUAUACCUGUACAUGCACUUUAUAACGAUCCAGGCAAACUUUUCUCUUCGUUUGUUUCGCAUCGACUGUAACUGUUCCGCGCGGCUAAACGCGAGCCGGGACCAGUAGCUCGAACAUUUUCGUGGCACGGUUAAACUUUCCCUUUCGCUGCCUCUCGUCUGUUUACCGAGAGGCAGAGUCGCGCGAUCAAAACAACCGCGAGCCUCGGACGAUGAUUCGCUCAUCGCGCAUACCGUAUACCACCACGAGUCUCUUUCUCUCUCUCUCUCUCUCUCUCUCUCUCUCUCUCUCUCUCUCUAUCUUUUUGUUCCCCAUAUCAGACUGCGUGUACAUACCAUAUCAAACCGCGUGUAGCGAUAGCGCACAGUCUCAUCGGUAUAGAUGCACCGACGACGUCGCCUGUGACGACCGCGACGGCGACGAUGGCGGCGGUGGCUUUAUCGCUCGCCGAGUGAACCGAGCGGAGCGCGCGUGUCUGGCCCGUGCGUGUGGACGCGGCUUAAUACACGCCGGUGAGAAAAAGUGAGAAAGAGACAGACACCGUGGAAGGAGAAAAAGGCCGAGCGUGAGUAAGAGAGAUCGGUGUGGUGUGAAAGAGAGAGGACUGUACGUACAGACAGAGAAGGAGAGUCGCACGAGACAGUUGCGCGCGCGAGCGUACGUCUGUGUGCGAAGUUGGCCGCGUCUGUGUACGCGCCGUCUAGACAGGAGGUUGUUGGGGCCGAACGAGGGUCGGCGGAGAGAGGCGAAAGACGACGUUGUGCUGGGCUGGAGGGAUUCGUACGGAGAGAAGGUCUUCACGUUUGGAAAGGCAAACAUAUGGAACGUAGAAGGCUAGAUAAGCGAAAGUCGUGAUAUACGAAAUGCACGAAUGGCGAAUAAAGGAAAUAAUAUAUAAAUACUAAUGUAAUAUUCUUAUAUAUAUAUUAUAAUAAAUAUAAUAAUAUAUUAUUACAUGUAACAGUAUAAUUG